rnacentral:rRNA from 1 species
GACGAACCGAGCGAACGUUGUUCGGAAUCACUGGGCUUAAAGGGCGCGUAGGCGGCUUUUCAAGUCGGGGGUGAAAGCCUGUGGCUCAACCACAGAAUUGCCUUCGAUACUGUUAGGCUUGAGACCGGAAGAGGUGAGUGGAACUGCGAGUGUAGAGGUGAAAUUCGUAGAUAUUCGCAAGAACACCAGUGGCGAAGGCGGCUCACUGGUCCGGUUCUGACGCUGAGGCGCGAAAGCGUGGGGAGCAAACAGG